rnacentral:rRNA from 1 species
CCUACGGGAGGCAGCAGUGGGGAAUAUUGGACAAUGGGCGAAAGCCUGAUCCAGCAAUGCCGCGUGAGUGAAGAAGGCCUUCGGGUUGUAAAGCUCUUUUACCCGGGAAGAUAAUGACCGUACCGGGAGAAUAAGCCCCGGCUAACUCCGUGCCAGCAGCCGCGGUAAUACGGAGGGGGCUAGCGUUGUUCGGAAUCACUGGGCGUAAAGCGUGCGUAGGCGGCCAUUCAAGUCAGAGGUGAAAGCCCAGGGCUCAACCCUGGAACUGCCUUUGAAACUAGGUGGCUGGAACACGGGAGAGGUGAGUGGAAUUCCGAGUGUAGAGGUGAAAUUCGUAGAUAUUCGGAAGAACACCAGUGGCGAAGGCGGCUCACUGGACCGUUGUUGACGCUGAGGCACGAAAGCGUGGGGAGCAAACAGGAUUAGAUACCCUGGUAGUCCACGCCGUAAACGAUGAUAACUAGCUGUUGGGGCUCUUUGAGCUCCAGUGGCGCAGCUACGACAUUAAGUUAUCCGUCCGUGGGUAGGUACGGCCGCGAACGGUUAAACGUUAAGUAGGAAGUUAGACGGCGUGAGAACGUGCCGACGGCGACGACGAGGGGAGGAGG